rnacentral:rRNA from 1 species
UACGAAGGGGGCUAGCGUUGCUCGGAAUCACUGGGCGUAAGGGGUGCGUAGGCGGGUUCUUAAGUCAGAGGUGAAAUCCUGGAGCUCAACUCCAGAACUGCCUUUGAUACUGAGAGUCUUGAGUUCGGGAGAGGUGAGUGGAACUGCGAGUGUAGAGGUGAAAUUCGUAGAUAUUCGCAAGAACACCAGUGGCGAAGGCGGCUCACUGGCCCGAUACUGACGCUGAAGCACGAAAGCGUGGGGAGCAAACAGG